rnacentral:rRNA from 1 species
UUUAUGGAGAGUUUGAUCCUGGCUCAGGAUGAACGCUGGCGGCGUGCCUAAUACAUGCAAGUCGAGCGAACGGACGAGAAGCUUGCUUCUCUGAUGUUAGCGGCGGACGGGUGAGUAACACGUGGAUAACCUACCUAUAAGACUGGGAUAACUUCGGGNNNNCNGAGCUAAUACCNGANNCNAUUUUGAACCGCAUGGUUCAAAAGUGAAAGACGGUCUUGCUGUCACUUAUAGAUGGAUCCGCGCUGCAUUAGCUAGUUGGUAAGGUAACGGCUUACCAAGGCAACGAUGCAUAGCCGACCUGAGAGGGUGAUCGGCCACACUGGAACUGAGACACGGUCCAGACUCCUACGGGAGGCAGCAGUAGGGAAUCUUCCGCAAUGGGCGAAAGCCUGACGGAGCAACGCCGCGUGAGUGAUGAAGGUCUUCGGAUCGUAAAACUCUGUUAUUAGGGAAGAACAUAUGUGUAAGUAACUGUGCACAUCUUGACGGUACCUAAUCAGAAAGCCACGGCUAACUACGUGCCAGCAGCCGCGGUAAUACGUAGGUGGCAAGCGUUAUCCGGAAUUAUUGGGCGUAAAGCGCGCGUAGGCGGUUUUUUAAGUCUGAUGUGAAAGCCCACGGCUCAACCGUGGAGGGUCAUUGGAAACUGGAAAACUUGAGUGCAGAAGAGGAAAGUGGAAUUCCAUGUGUAGCGGUGAAAUGCGCAGAGAUAUGGAGGAACACCAGUGGCGAAGGCGACUUUCUGGUCUGUAACUGACGCUGAUGUGCGAAAGCGUGGGGAUCAAACAGGAUUAGAUACCCUGGUAGUCCACGCCGUAAACGAUGAGUGCUAAGUGUUAGGGGGUUUCCGCCCCUUAGUGCUGCAGCUAACGCAUUAAGCACUCCGCCUGGGGAGUACGACCGCAAGGUUGAAACUCAAAGGAAUUGACGGGGACCCGCACAAGCGGUGGAGCAUGUGGUUUAAUUCGAAGCAACGCGAAGAACCUUACCAAAUCUUGACAUCCUUUGACAACUCUAGAGAUAGAGCCUUCCCCUUCGGGGGACAAAGUGACAGGUGGUGCAUGGUUGUCGUCAGCUCGUGUCGUGAGAUGUUGGGUUAAGUCCCGCAACGAGCGCAACCCUUAAGCUUAGUUGCCAUCAUUAAGUUGGGCACUCUAAGUUGACUGCCGGUGACAAACCGGAGGAAGGUGGGGAUGACGUCAAAUCAUCAUGCCCCUUAUGAUUUGGGCUACACACGUGCUACAAUGGACAAUACAAAGGGCAGCGAAACCGCGAGGUCAAGCAAAUCCCAUAAAGUUGUUCUCAGUUCGGAUUGUAGUCUGCAACUCGACUACAUGAAGCUGGAAUCGCUAGUAAUCGUAGAUCAGCAUGCUACGGUGAAUACGUUCCCGGGUCUUGUACACACCGCCCGUCACACCACGAGAGUUUGUAACACCCGAAGCCGGUGGAGUAACCUUUUAGGAGCUAGCCGUCGAAGGUGGGACAAAUGAUUGGGGUGAAGUCGUAACAAGGUAGCCGUAUCGGAAGGUGCGGCUGGAUCACCUCCUUU